rnacentral:lncRNA from 1 species
UUCGCUGGUACUGAAGUGGUGUCUGUGGCGUCGGUGGUGUCUCAGCUCGUCGCCGAUGGUGGGUCUGGUGUCUGGGAAAACAGGCAUGAUUGUGGGUACAGUACAGAGAAGAGAGAAAUGGGGUGAAGAGCGGAUUGAAGGAAGGAGUAUAUAGAUGGUAAUGGAGACUGGGGGAAUCUGAAAGAGAUGUUCUUUUUAUCUUCUUUUAUUUGGGUUCAGUGGGAGAGAUGACGAUUGGGGAAGCUGCAGAGUCUGGCUCGUUUCUUUUUUGGCUGUGACUGGUAAUCUUUCCUUUUUCGUCUUCUACCUCGUGAGGGCAAACGUAACAAUUACCAGGUAAGGUUAAUUAUAAAAGGUAACUUCUUCUGGGAAAAACGGUCAGAUGUGAAUUUACCAGUCAGGUCUGUCGAUAUAGGUAGUUUUGGAGGGGAGAUGUGAGUAUAGAGAAACAAGUAAAAAAUCAUGAUUUGCACUCGUACUGAGGAUGCACAUCAAGCCAGCCAUAUGAUCCUACCAACAAUAAAUUUGCAAUGCAUCAUCAAUCACGACGUCCAUUGCGAUCUAUCAGCUAGACACACAUGAUCAACAUGCAUCUUUGAAGCUAAUGUAAUGGAUGAAAUACACGUUUCAUUCAUAAUUGACAUUUGUUGGCUAUGGUGCAAGGAAGGAUGGUACUGAAAAGUAAAUGGGUGUAUCCGUGCAUUUGCAUUCAUUUAGAUCACGCUUCUUGGAUCUUAGUGGGUGUCCUUUCAUCACUAUUCGCCUAUGUCCAUGUUUACUACUUUUCUGAGCGUUUCGAAAAAAGAGCUUGAUUGAAACAAACCAGAAGGAAUAGAGAGAGGUAUGAAAGCAAACACCCCCCCCCCCCCAAAAAUAUCUUCCACAUUUCCCCUUUUUUCGCCGGGGAGUCUUUUAUGUAGGUGGAGGGUGCUUGUCUUCAAACUUGUCCUUUCUUAUUAUAACUAUAUAAACUAUAAAUAAAUAAAUAAAGAUUCUUUCUUGUUACUACUACUAGGGAAAUGGCACGUCUCCUCUAUUCUACCAAGUUAUUUGACAACUAUAAACAAUGCUUAAUUUGCCAAACCUAUCUAACUCAACUUCAC